CCUACGGGAGGCAGCAGUGAGGAAUAUUGGUCAAUGGGCGCAAGCCUGAACCAGCCAAGUCGCGUGAGGGAUGACGGUCCUAUGGAUUGUAAACCUCUUUUGUCGGGGAGCAAGGCCCGCCACGUGUGGCUGGAAGGAGAGUACCCGAAGAAAAAGCAUCGGCUAACUCCGUGCCAGCAGCCGCGGUAAUACGGAGGAUGCGAGCGUUAUCCGGUUUUAUUGGGUUUAAAGGGUGCGUAGGCGGCCUUUUAAGUCAGCGGUGAAAGUCUGUGGCUCAACCAUAGAAUUGCCGUUGAAACUGGGGGGCUUGAGUAUGUUUGAGGUAGGCGGAAUUCGUGGUGUAGCGGUGAAAUGCUUAGAUAUCACGAAGAACUCCGAUUGCGAAGGCAGCUUACUAAACUGCCACUGACAUUGAUGCUCGAAAGUGUGGGUAUCAAACAGGAUUAGAUACCCGAGUAGUC
rnacentral:rRNA from 1 species